rnacentral:rRNA from 1 species
UACGGAGGGAGCUAGCGUUGUUCGGAAUUACUGGGCGUAAAGCGCGCGUAGGCGGCUUUGUAAGUUAGAGGUGAAAUCCCUCGGCUUAACCGGGGAACUGCGUCUGAUACUGGAUGGCUUGAGGUUGGGAGAGGGAUGCGGAAUUCCAGGUGUAGCGGUGAAAUGCGUAGAUAUCUGGAGGAACACCGGUGGCGAAGGCGGCAUCCUGGACCAAUUCUGACGCUGAGGAGCGAAAGCUAGGGGAGCAAACGGG